GUUAUUGGGGUGUGUCUAAGUUGGGUGUGUUAUGAUCCAAAGAGCUAGGAUGAACAAAUCUCAUGCUUUUAAAAAAGAGGCAUGUCUAUGUCCUUGUCUGCUAUUGUGGUGGCCUUUCUCCUGGCAGUUUAUUGGUUAUUUUGGGUGGCUUUCAACACUUUGACUCAGCUAGCCACAUGAUUCAGAGUAAAUAAAGUUUGGAAAUAACACAUGUUAGAUUCUUUGUUUGGAAAGAAAGUAUACAUGUUAGAUUCAAAAAGGAAGCAAGGUCGUAACUUGGCAGCAAAAUAGUAUCCC
rnacentral:lncRNA from 1 species